UCAGAUUCCAAUGAAGUGUUUGUUGCUAGUGAGCUGCUGCAAUUGCGGAUGCUAAGAAGAUGCAUAAAAGAAUGGAUGAAGGAAUCCAUCCCUGCUUACCUUCCAGAGCAGAACCAGCAGAAGAGCCAGCAUCAGCAACCCGGCCAGUAUGCCCAGCAGAAUGAUCCACCACAACGCUCUGCCAUAAUACGGCAACAGCUUCUCUGGAAACACUGUGACUCUAACCUGCAGAGCAACAAUACUAUCCAAUGACCCAUUAGAAGCUUCACAUCCACCAG